rnacentral:rRNA from 1 species
UACGGGGGGAGCAAGCGUUGUUCGGAUUUACUGGGCGUAAAGGGCGCGUAGGCGGCGCGACAAGUCACUUGUGAAAUCUCCGGGCUUAACCCGGAGCGGCCAAGUGAUACUGUAGUGCUAGAGUGCGGGAAGGGGCUACUGGAAUUCUCGGUGUAGCGGUGAAAUGCGUAGAUAUCGAGAGGAACACCUGCGGCGAAGGCGGGUAGCUGGGCCGACACUGACGCUGAGGCGCGAAAGCCAGGGGAGCGAACGGG